rnacentral:rRNA from 1 species
AUUGAACGCUGGCGGCAUGCUUUGCACAUGCAAGUCGAACGGCAGCAUGGGUGCUUGCACCUGAUGGCGAGUGGCGAACGGGUGAGUAAUGUAUCGGAACAUAUCCGCAGGUGGGGGAUAACGUAGCGAAAGUUACGCUAAUACCGCAUAUUCCCUGAGGGGGAAAGGAGGGGAUCCGCAAGGACCUUUCGCUUACGGAGUGGCCGAUAUCAGAUUAGCUAGUUGGUGAGGUAAAGGCUCACCAAGGCGACGAUCUGUAGCGGGUCUGAGAGGAUGAUCCGCCACACUGGGACUGAGACACGGCCCAGACUCCUACGGGAGGCAGCAGUGGGGAAUUUUGGACAAUGGGGGCAACCCUGAUCCAGCCAUGCCGCGUGAGUGAAGAAGGCCUUCGGGUUGUAAAGCUCUUUCAGCCGGAAAAGAAUCGCAUCACCUAAUACGUGGUGUGGAUGAUGGUACCGGAAGAAGAAGCACCGGCUAACUACGUGCCAGCCGCCGCUGUAA